rnacentral:pre_miRNA from 12 species
UCGGGGCCGGCGCUCUCCCCGUCUCCAGGAGCCCACGUCUGCUUUCCUCUGAGCUUCUCGACGACAGAGCCGGCGCCCGUUCCAGCGUUUGCGC